UCCGAUUUGUCACCGGCAGUCUCCCUAGAGUCCCCGACAUAACUCGCUGGCAACUAGGGACAGGGGUUGCGCUCGUUGCGGGACUUAACCCAACAUCUCACGACACGAGCUGACGACAACCAUGCACCACCUGUCACUCUGUCCCCCGAAGGGGAACGUCCUAUCUCUAGGAGUGUCAGAGGAUGUCAAGACCUGGUAAGGUUCUUCGCGUUGCAUCGAAUUAAAGAACAUGCUCCGCUGCUUGUGCGGGCCCCCGUCAAUUCUUUUGAGUUUUAGCCUUGCGACCGUACUCCCCAGGCGGGAUGCUUAAUGCGUUAGCUGCGCCACUGACGGGCAAGCCCGCCAACGGCUAGCAUCCAUCGUUUACGGCGUGGACUAC
rnacentral:misc_RNA from 1 species